UUAAGUUCAGCGGGUAGUCCUACCUGAUUUGAGGUCACAUUAAUGAAACAUUUGUCCAAGUCAAUGGACUGUUAGAAGCUGAACUGACUGACGGUCAAUAGCGUAGAUAUUUAUCACGCCAAUGAACGGUCAACAAAUUGUCCCGCUAAUGCAUUUCAGGGGAGCUGACUUCAUAAAGACGCCAGCAAAAAUACCCCCAC
rnacentral:misc_RNA from 1 species